rnacentral:tRNA from 1 species
GCGCGGAUAGGCUAACGGCAGACCGCCCACCAAGUGGGAAGCGGCGGUUCAACCCCGUCCUCCGCGCUCCA